CCUGAAGCUACGAAUGUGGAUCAGGCUCCACUAUAUUUGCAAAGACCCAAUAUAGACAAGUUCAUUUUUAGACCUGUACCUAUUAGUGUCUUUAAGAAACACCUUAAUAAUCUACAAAGGAAAAACCAGUCUGGACCUGAUCAAAUUCCAGCAAUGCUGUUGAAGCUCAGUGCGCCAGCAAUUGCUAAACCCGUCACAACCCUAAUUAACGAAUCCUUGUUGUCUGGAUACAUACCCAAAAUUUGGAAGACUGCAAGAGUAGUGCCUGUUCAUAAAAGUGGUGACAGUACUUUGGUUUCUAACUAUUGCCCAAAUUUCAUUGCUCCCAGUAUUGCAUCCAUAUGCAAAUAUUACCAACGAUCUAACUAUCUGACCCCUGAUCAAUCAGGUUUUUGCUCGAAUCACUCCACUACAACUGCCCUCUUAAAAGUUUGCAAUGACAUCCAAACUGGCAUGGAACAAGGAGACCUAACUGGAGCUAUUUUCCUUGAUUUUGCAAAGGCCUUUGACGCAGUAGACCAUGACAUUCUAC